CGGACGGGUGAGUAACGCGUGGAUAACCUGCCUCAUACAGGGGGAUAACAGUUAGAAAUGACUGCUAAUACCGCAUAAGCGCACAGGACCGCAUGGUCCGGUGUGAAAAACUCCGGUGGUAUGGGAUGGAUCCGCGUCUGAUUAGCUGGUUGGUGAGGUGACGGCCCACCAAGGCGACGAUCAGUAGCCGACCUGAGAGGGUGGCCGGCCACAUUGGGACUGAGACACGGCCCAAACUCCUACGGAAGGCAGCAG
rnacentral:rRNA from 1 species